rnacentral:rRNA from 1 species
UGGGGAAUAUUGGACAAUGGGCGCAAGCCUGAUCCAGCAAUGCCGCGUGAGUGAUGAAGGCCUUAGGGUUGUAAAGCUCUUUCGCACGCGACGAUGAUGACGGUAGCGUGAGAAGAAGCCCCGGCUAACUUCGUGCCAGCAGCCGCGGUAAUACGAAGGGGGCUAGCGUUGUUCGGAAUUACUGGGCGUAAAGGGCGCGUAGGCGGCCUGUUUAGUCAGAAGUGAAAGCCCCGGGCUCAACCUGGGAAUAGCUUUUGAUACUGGCAGGCUUGAGUUCCGGAGAGGAUGGUGGAAUUCCCAGUGUAGAGGUGAAAUUCGUAGAUAUUGGGAAGAACACCGGUGGCGAAGGCGGCCAUCUGGACGGACACUGACGCUGAGGCGCGAAAGCGUGGGGAGCAAACAGGAUUAGAUACCCUGGUAGUCCACGCCCGUAAACGAAUGAUGCUAGACGUCGGGGUGCAUGCACUUCGGUGUCGCCGCUAACGCAUUAAGCAUUCCGCCUGGGGAGUACGGCCGCAAGGUUAAAACUCAAAUGAAUUGACGGGGUCAAUAGCUGUUUCC